ACGCUAGCUACAGGCUUAACACAUGCAAGUCGAGGGGCAGCAUGGUCUUAGCUUGCUAAGGCCGAUGGCGACCGGCGCACGGGUGAGUAACACGUAUCCAACCUGCCGUCUACUCUUGGACAGCCUUCUGAAAGGAAGAUUAAUACAAGAUGGCAUCAUGAGUCCACAUGUUCACAUGAUUAAAGGUAUUCCGGUAGACGAUGGGGAUGCGUUCCAUUAGAUAGUAGGCGGGGUAACGGCCCACCUAGUCUUCGAUGGAUAGGGGUUCUGAGAGGAAGGUCCCCCACAUUGGAACUGAGACACGGUCCAAACUCCUACGGGAGGCAGCAGUGAGGAAUAUUGGUCAAUGGGCGCAGGCCUGAACCAGCCAAGUAGCGUGAAGGAUGACUGCCCUAUGGGUUGUAAACUUCUUUUAUAAAGGAAUAAAGUCGGGUAUGCAUACCCGUUUGCAUGUACUUUAUGAAUAAGGAUCGGCUAACUCCGUGCCAGCAGCCGCGGUAAUACGGAGGAUCCGAGCGUUAUCCGGAUUUAUUGGGUUUAAAGGGAGCGUAGAUGGAUGUUUAAGUCAGUUGUGAAAGUUUGCGGCUCAACCGUAAAAUUGCAGUUGAUACUGGAUAUCUUGAGUGCAGUUGAGGCAGGCGGAAUUCGUGGUGUAGCGGUGAAAUGCUUAGAUAUCACGAAGAACUCCGAUUGCGAAGGCAGCCUGCUAAGCUGCAACUGACAUUGAGGCUCGAAAGUGUGGGUAUCAAACAGGAUUAGAUACCCUGGUAGUCCACACGGUAAACGAUGAAUACUCGCUGUUUGCGAUAUACAGCAAGCGGCCAAGCGAAAGCGUUAAGUAUUCCACCUGGGGAGUACGCCGGCAACGGUGAAACUCAAAGGAAUUGACGGGGGCCCGCACAAGCGGAGGAACAUGUGGUUUAAUUCGAUGAUACGCGAGGAACCUUACCCGGGCUUAAAUUGCAGAUGAAUUACGGUGAAAGCCGUAAGCCGCAAGGCAUCUGUGAAGGUGCUGCAUGGUUGUCGUCAGCUCGUGCCGUGAGGUGUCGGCUUAAGUGCCAUAACGAGCGCAACCCUUGUUGUCAGUUACUAACAGGUUCCGCUGAGGACUCUGACAAGACUGCCAUCGUAAGAUGUGAGGAAGGUGGGGAUGACGUCAAAUCAGCACGGCCCUUACGUCCGGGGCUACACACGUGUUACAAUGGGGGGUACAGAGGGCCGCUACCACGCGAGUGGAUGCCAAUCCCAAAAACCUCUCUCAGUUCGGACUGGAGUCUGCAACCCGACUCCACGAAGCUGGAUUCGCUAGUAAUCGCGCAUCAGCCACGGCGCGGUGAAUACGUUCCCGGGCCUUGUACACACCGCCCGUCAAGCCAUGGGAGCCGGGGGGUACCUGAAGUGCGUAACCGCGAGGAGCGCCCUAGGGUAAAACUGGUGACUGGGG
rnacentral:rRNA from 1 species